AUGACUCUCGGCAACGGAUAUCUCGGCUCUUGCAUCGAUGAAGAACGUAGCGAAAUGCGAUACUUGGUGUGAAUUGCAGAAUCCCGUGAACCAUCGAGUCUUUGAACGCAAGUUGCGCCCGAAGCCAUCAGGUUGAGGGCACGCCUGCCUGGGUGUCACGC
rnacentral:rRNA from 1 species